rnacentral:rRNA from 1 species
AACGUAGGAGACAAACGUUAUCCGGAGUUACUGGGCGUAAAGGGCGUGUAGGUGGUUUUGUAAGUCUGGCGUGAAAUUUUUCGGCUUAACCGGGAAAGGUCGUCGGAUACUGCAAGGCUAGAGGACGGUAGAGGCGUGUGGAAUUCCGGGGUGUAGUGGUGAAAAUGCGUAGAGAUCCGGAGGAACACCAGUGGCGAAGGCGACACGCUGGGCCGUACCUGACACUGAUGCGCGACAGCAUGGGGAGCAAACAGG